UGCCAAGCGCGUCUUCAUUAAUCAAGAACGAAAGUCAGAGGUUCGAAGGCGAUCAGAUACCGCCCUAGUUCUGACCGUAAACGAUGCCAACUAGCGAUCCGCCGGUGGCUCUUUGGCCCUGGUGGGGAGCUUCCCGGAAACGAAAGUCUUCCGGUUCCGGGGGAAGUAUGGUUGCAAAGCUGAAACUUAAAGGAAUUGACGGAAGGGCACCACCAGGAGUGGAGCCUGCGGCUUAAUUUGACUCAACACGGGAAAACUCACCCGGCCCGGACACCGUGAGGAUUGACAGAUUGAUAGCUUUUUCAUGAUUCGGUGGUUGGUGGUGCAUGGCCGUUCUUAGUUCGUGGAUCGAUUUGUCUGGUUUAUUCCGAUAACGAGCGAGACUCCAGCCUACUAACUAGUGCGGGCAUUGCCUCUGUGCUUGUCACUUCUUAGAGGGAUUGGCUGCGUCUAGCGGCACGAAACGGAGCAAUAACAGGUCUGUGAUGCCCUUAGAUGUCCGGGGCUGCACGCGCGCUACACUGGCAAAAGCAGCGUGCUUGUCCGCCUCCGAAAGGAGCCGGUAAACCCUUGAAAAUUUGCCGUGAUUGGGAUCGGAAAUUGCAAUUAUUUUCCGUGAACGAGGAAUUCCUAGUAAGUGCGAGUCAUCAGCUCGCGUUGAUUACGUCCCUGCCCUUUGUACACACCGCCCGUCGCUGCCUAGAACUGAGCCAUUUCGAGAAUAUUCGGGAUCGCUGGUUGCGGGUCCUUCGGGGCACGCCUCCGGCAAGAGAACGAACGUAAUCGCAGUGGCUUGAACCGGGCAAAAGU
rnacentral:rRNA from 1 species